GGUUCGCUAGCUCAGUUGGUAGAGCAUCUGACUUUUAAUCAGAGGGUCCCGGGUUCAAGUCCCGGGUGAGCCACCA
rnacentral:tRNA from 1 species